rnacentral:lncRNA from 1 species
CUGAUCCAAUCUGCUCGCUCUGCAAUGCACACCCGGAAACCACCGAGCACCUGUUUCUCCUCUGCAAGUGGACAAAGAAAAUAUGGACAGACCCACGGAUUAAUCUCAUGUGUAAACCCACGCACAUAUCCAGGUUUGAUAAAUGGUUGAAGGAAAGCUUCGAAGGCAACCACCACUCACCCGAGAAGGAACUAGUGGCGAUGGUCCUCUGGUUUAUAUGGAAAGCCCGCAACGGAACCAUCUUCAGAGCAAAACCGCCCGAUCCGAACACAAUCGUAGAUCUUGCACAAGCAAACCUCCAGAAUUUUAGAAGAUGGCACAACACAAGCGAAGCUAAGAACCCCACAGACUUGUACUUACCGAGAAGGUGGAGACCGCCGGACAGAGGAACCCUGAAACUAAACGUCGAUGGCUCGUGGGUACCAGGAGAACCGGUUGGAUCCGUCGCCGGAAUACUGAGGAAUCACGCCGGACAAGUGGUGGAUGGCUUCAUCAGCGAUAUCCGAGCCUCUUCAGCCGUGCAUAUCGAAACCCUAGCUAUUUUGAAGGGACUGG